AGAGUUUGAUCCUGGCUCAGGAUGAACGCUGGCGGCGUGCUUAACACAUGCAAGUCGAACGAACCUUCGGGUUAGUGGCGGACGGGUGAGUAACGCGUGAGAAUCUGCCCUCAGGAGGGGGAUAACGACUGGAAACGGUCGCUAAUACCCCAUAUGCCGAGAGGUGAAAUGAAUUUCGCCUGAGGAUGAGCUCGCGUCUGAUUAGCUAGUUGGUGGGGUAAAGGCCUACCAAGGCGACGAUCAGUAGCUGGUCUGAGAGGAUGAUCAGCCACACUGGGACUGAGGCACGGCCCAGACUCCUACGGGAGGCAGCAGUGGGGAAUUUUCCGCAAUGGGCGAAAGCCUGACGGAGCAACGCCGCGUGAGGGAUGAAGGCCUCUGGGCUGUAAACCUCUUUUCUCAAGGAAGAAGAUCUGACGGUACUUGAGGAAUAAGCCACGGCUAAUUCCGUGCCAGCAGCCGCGGUAAUACGGGAGUGGCAAGCGUUAUCCGGAAUUAUUGGGCGUAAAGCGUCCGCAGGCGGCCUCGUAAGUCUGUCGUUAAAGCGUGGAGCUUAUCUCCAUUUCAGCGAUGGAAACUACAAGGCUUGAGUGUGGUAGGGGCAGAGGGAAUUCCCGGUGUAGCGGUGAAAUGCGUAGAUAUCGGGAAGAACACCAGUGGCGAAGGCGCUCUGCUGGGCCAUAACUGACGCUCAUGGACGAAAGCCAGGGGAGCGAAAGGGAUUAGAUACCCCUGUAGUCCUGGCCGUAAACGAUGAACACUAGGCG
rnacentral:rRNA from 1 species